CCAUUGCUCUCUCCCAAAAGUUAGGUUGGUGCGAAAAACCUGUAAAUUCAAAUAAGUAAAACAGUGCGAUGGUCUGCACUUGAAAAGAUGUCACAUAAAGCUUACGUCAUUUUUUGAUUUAAAAAAUAUAUAUUUUAACUGCAUCAGGGAUGGCGUACACAGAUUUUUCGGCUUUGCAUCCUUCUUCAGGGUGGUUUAGCAUCACAUUGUACUCAGACAAUGCCAUCUUAAUCCACAUGGGGAGGCUAAUAAAACUAUUACAUUUAAGUAACAGCAGUGUAUCUCACUAAGGUACUGAGUUAUGUGUGACUGCAGUUUAUUAACACAGUACUCCUCUAGUGCAUUGAAACAGCUUAUAGGCCUUAACUAUACUUUUUUUGCUGUGUGUUAUUGUCCUAUCAAGUCUCCAUUCAUAUAUAUUCCUUUCUGUCCUUAGAUUACUCUAUUUUCACUGCAUCAGGGCUAAAGAGCAAGGACCCGCAUGAUCAACAGCCAGUCAAAUGCAAAGAUGUCUCUAUAUUUGCAGCUGGGAAAAAUCGUUUGGCUAAGUCUUGAACCCCUUAUAUGCAAAAAAAGAAGGCAGAAUGCAUAGGUAAAGAGGGAGAAUGUUAAAACUGAUAAGUGAAGUUUAUUUGACACAGUAUUACAUGAUUCUAACAGUGAUACUUGUUUGUCUUUUUUCAGUUCCUGACGUUUUCCUUGCAAGAAGUGACCUCUGCAAUUUGACAAAUAUUUUCUGAAAUUCAUUUCAUUCUUCCCUUGUUUUCUAUAUACAUUUUAAAUUCUUCAAGCAUUAUAAAAUAAUAAAAUAUUUUAGCAUCAA